GCCUCCCUGCUUGGUUCGUGACGGGCCUUUUUAAACCCACAUGAUGACAACGGGACGCCGGGCUUCUGCUGUUGAUGGCAGGCCUCCCGGAAUUUCCGGAUGUUGGAAGCCGUGACCCUGCGGAGAGGCGACCCACCUGCAUGGAGCGUGCAGGUUAUAAAUGGGUUCGCACGGCCGAAGUGGGGGCAU
rnacentral:other from 1 species